CGGGCAUAUCUCGUUAAAAUAUUGGUUCUCGCCCGAUCGCUGAAGUUAAGCCUAGUUGAGCCUAGUACGUACCUAGAUGGGUGACUGUUUGGGACUACUUGGUGUUGUAAG